rnacentral:lncRNA from 1 species
CCUUGUCUUCUUUUCUUCAAAAACUUCUUAAACUUUUUAGUAAUGAGGGCCAUUUCUUCAUCCUACUUUUCAUUUUCUAUAUCAUCGGAUUCCUCAUCAAGUUGAGCAGUGGAUUUGAGAGUGAUUAUCCUCUUCUUUUUGAUAUCUUCUUCUUGAUGUUGUUUCAUGCUUAGCUCGUGUGUCAUUCGCGAUCCUAAAAGCUCCUCCAAG